rnacentral:rRNA from 1 species
UGGGGAAUUUUGGACAACGGGCGAAAGCCUGAUCCAGCAAUGCCGCGUGUGUGAAGAAGGCCUUCGGGUUGUAAAGCACUUUUGUCCGGAAAGAAAUCCUUGGCUCUAAUACAGUCGGGGGAUGACGGUACCGGAAGAAUAAGCACCGGCUAACUACGUGCCAGCAGCCGCGGUAAUACGUAGGGUGCAAGCGUUAAUCGGAAUUACUGGGCGUAAAGCGUGCGCAGGCGGUUUGCUAAGACCGAUGUGAAAUCCCCGGGCUCAACCUGGGAACUGCAUUGGUGACUGGCAGGCUAGAGUAUGGCAGAGGGGGGUAGAAUUCCACGUGUAGCAGUGAAAUGCGUAGAGAUGUGGAGGAAUACCGAUGGCGAAGGCAGCCCCCUGGGCCAAUACUGACGCUCAUGCACGAAAAGCGUGGGGAGCAAAACAGGAUUAGAUACCCUGGUAGUCCACGCCCUAAAACGAUGUCAACUAGUUGUUGGGGAUUCAUUUCCUUAGUAACGUAGCUAACGCGUGAAGUUGACC